UCAAAACUAGCGGUUACUUUACCAGACAACUAACGGCUAACUUUGUUACCAGACGAUGGAGCCUGACCCCUGCUGUGUUUGUUCCAGACCAGGACUCUGUGGCUGAGGAGAGCUGCUGGAGGAGCUGGGACUCCUGAGGACGACCAGGACUCUACCAACAAGAAUACCUGAGUGAAGCUACGUCUGUAACCAGACCAGGAAUCUCUGGAGGACUGACGGAGAAGCCAAAGAUCUGGACGGUGAAUCCUGAAGGCUGGGAGUCUACAAACAAACCAGGACUCUGUGGCUGAGGAGAGCUGGGACUCCUGAGGACGACCAGGACUCUACCAACAAGGAUUCCUGGACGCUGAUGGAAUCCUGUUUGGUCCGGGGCAGACCAGCCUGAGCUGAGCCCACCUGAUCCUGUUUGGUCCGGGGCAGAGCUGAAGCCCACCUGAUGCUCACAUCCUGCUGGUCCCGUCUCCUCAUCUCAUCUGAGCCUCGUCCUCAAGAACUGCUGAGCUCCUUCAAGUCCGCAGUCUGAGGCUGAUGGAUCAAUGAACUCAUUAACCUUUUUAACACCACAUGUACCCGUGUGCUUCCACACGCCUUUCCCACACGUCUGUCACUUACUCACCUCACUAACUAACCUCACAACUUCACUUUCCUCUCUACUCCUUCCCGUUGCUCUUCCUUCUCCAGGGUUCGAACCUUUACUCUGAAGGAGUGUCUUCUUGAACCUUUACUCUGAAGGAGUGUCUUUUGCCCUCAGAGGGUUCAGUGUCAGGGUUCAGAGUCAGGGUUUAGAGUCAGGGACAGAGCUGGUUAGGGAGAACUGUUUUUCACUCAAACCUAUUCAUUUGCUUUCUGAAUGGUUACACCAUUUCGAAAAAUGUAUUAUGGAAAUGUUUUUCUGUGCUAGGCUAGACCGGAGGCUGGAGGCUGGGCUGCUGGAGGCCGGAAGACCGGAGGCUGGAGGCUAGAGGCUGGGCUGCCGGAGGCCGGAGGCUGGGCUGCUGGAGGACCAGAGGGUAACCUUCACCACGUUCAUCUGAACACUGAAACCCCCGGGAUCUUAUGGGGGCUGGUCACUGGAGGAGGGUUUUAUCUUCAGAUGAUGGUUCUGGGCCCAAGCUGUAUAAUGAGGUCCUUCAUACUGGGGUAACGUCGUAGGGUCAUGUGAGCCAUUUGUUACUAGUGCCGUUAUGACCGUAGUUGAUGCAUCACUCAAAACAUCUAUUUGUAGACUUUGUUGAAUUGAAGGCAGUUUAAAUGUUGGCCUCCAUUUUACAAGUGGACCUCAGAUGCAGAAGGUGGGAGGUGUUGCGUCCCCAGGUGAUUUAAAACUGAGACCUAACUGUGUUCAUAACCAGACCAGGAAUCAAUGGGUGGAGGAGCUGGUGGAGGAGCUGGUGGAGGACGACCAGGACUCUACCAACAAGGAUUCCUGGACGCUGAUGGAAUCUUGUUUGGUCCGGGGCAGACCAGCCUGAGCUGAGCCCACCUGAUCCUGUUUGGUCCGGGGCAGAGCUGAAGCCCACCUGAUGCUCACAUCCUGCUGGUCCCGUCUCCUCAUCUCAUCUGAGCCUCGUCCUCAAGAACUGCUGAGCUCCUUCAAGUCCGCAGUCUGAGGCUGAUGGAUCAAUGAACUCAUUAACCUUUUUAACACCACAUGUACCCGUGUGCUUCCACACGCCUUUCCCACACGUCUGUCACUUACUCACCUCACUAACUAACCUCACAACUUCACUUUCCUCUCUAAUCCUUCCCGUUGCUCUUCCUUCUCCAGGGUUCGAACCUUUACUCUGAAGGAGUGUCUUCUUGAACCUUUACUCUGAAGGAGUGUCUUUUGCCCUCAGAGGGUUCAGUGUCAGGGUUCAGAGUCAGGGUUUAGAGUCAGGGACAGAGCUGGUUAGGGAGAACUAUUUUUCACUCAAACCUAUUCAUUUGCUUUCUGAAUGGUUACACCAUUUCGAAAAAUGUAUUAUGGAAAUGUUUUUCUGUGCUAGGCUAGACCGGAGGCUGGAGGCU